UCGCCCAUUUCUUUGUCUCUUGUAGGAUUUUGCGGAGCCACUCGACAGAUGAGAAUCUCAUUUCGAGGCUCCUCAGAAGGCGAACUGCACCCCCUCCCUCAAGCCUCUUCUCCAGUCUCAUGGUUUUCAUGACCACUAGGGGAAGACGACGAAUUCCAAGGCACUUGCUGGAACA
rnacentral:lncRNA from 1 species